UCAAGCCUGAACUCCAGUAGGCUGGCAAGCCCCAGGAAGAAGGCUGGCAGUCAGAGUGGCCACUACAGUUCUCUGCAGCAGACCCUCUUCCCAGGCCAGACAGCUCAGCCUUUGCCAGCACUAGGCAUGACCGUGCCAGAGUCCCGAUCCUGCACCUGCUGCCAGUAGCAACUACACAGGUAUGGAGUCUCAGCGGGAUCCUACAGUAGCAAUGUCUCCAGACAAAAUGGUCUCAGACAUCUGGCCAGAAAACAAAUAGAACAUGAUUAAUGCACGAGGAUGGCGUGUGAUAUGGUGUCUCAGGAGCUGUCUUACAACUUGCUGUCAAGACUACAAUACCUACGUAAAAAGCAGAGAGAGGAAUGCAGUCACCGUUGUUUUUUUAAGCCACUGGCAACAGCAAAGAGUUAAAUGCAAUCAGACUAGACCAGAAAAGGAUCCAUUAUGUCAAGAUCUGUCACAUCCUAGCACUCUUUACAGAGUAGUCCAUAUAACCCAAACUAAAAGUGUAUCGACUCAAGACAUCCAAAGAGCAAGGAAUGGUCCUUCAACUGCUUUUAGUCACAUCAUCUUCCUUUCUCAGAAAAGGACCAGAGAAAGCAGCCAGCUAACCUUGGCUGAAAGAGCAACUUGAUUAGCAGCAGGGGAACAAUCACCUAUACAUCAAAUACUACUGAAAACCCAUUACCAUCCCUGUUUAAUAAACCUCCCUUUCUAGCUACUGCCAAACUUCAUGCAAGUGGAACUUCAAACCUCAGUGGGUGCAGCAUGGGGAGACACAUAACUUGACAGCUAUCAAGAAACUGGCAAUCAGCAUGUUAUCCGUACUAUCAUAUAAGCAGGGUUGUAUUAUUCCAUUCUUGCACUGCACAACUGUGGGGUAGUGGUACAAAAAAAACCCCACUGUACCCCAAAAAUCUCAGCUAAAAUAGCAAAUUGCUGUGUCCAAUGGCCUUAGAGAUAUGCUUGAAACUAGUUGGGCAGUUCACAAAAGUUCACUUUUGUGAAAACUUAGAAGCCAUACGAAGGCUGAGCCAGACUUCAAGAAGUAAGGGGGUGGGAGUUCCUAGUACUUCUCUUUGAUACCUAGGUGGUGAGCAGAAACGGAUUGAAUUAUGCAAUAUAGUAAAUAUAUGCACAUUGUAUUAUUUUGAGGUCACAGAAUUCAGCUGCACUUUUAUGCACCCUUACCUCCAAGUAGGAUCCACUGAACCCUUCGGUCUAAACCAUAGGAUCCAGAUGCAGUUUUUCUUAGUACAGAAAUCUGAAUUUUAGGGCAAGUUAGGGGGUUAGGUGAGCAGAAGAGGCUGAGCUGCAGACAGUAGGCUGAGCUCCUAUACAUUUCACUUUGAUCCAUUUUGUAGGUCAGUGGGCCACUUUUUAAUAUUCAUCCUGCUUUUCCUCCAAGGAGUCGGGAGCAGUGUACAUGUGCAGAAGGUUAGACUGGGAGAGAAGUGAUGGCCCAAAGUCACCCAAUGAAUUCCAUGGCUGGGUGAGGAUUUGAACUCAGGUCUCUCCGAUCUUAGUCCAGCAUUCUAGCCAUUUGACCAGGGAUUCUCAAUAUUGGAUCCCCAGAUGUUAUUGGACUUCAACUCCCAUAACUCCCAGGCCCAGUGGCCUUUGGCUGGAGAUUAUGGGAGUUGAAGUCCAAUAACAUCUGGGAAACCAACGUUGAUAAUCCCUGCACUAGACUAUACUGUUAGACAGACCAAGAAUCAAGCAAGGCCAUUCCUGGACACAUCUUGCAAUUCCCCUCCAGGGGGACAGGUUAUACAGGCAGCAACUGCUCAUGUUCCUAGUUAUGAAAUCUAGUAUAGAGCUAUGGGCCAUGGAGAAUACUGUGGGGAGGAAAGGAAAUUGUGUACCCUUUUCUGAGAUUACCCCUGUAUUUGUUUACUGUGGAAAGCUGGUCAAGUGAAUUGUAAGUCCACACUAGACCCACACAGUGCACCUCCCUGCUGGAUAUGUGAAAGUAGCAAGGAGUCAUGUAGGCUGGUACACCUGCAGGGAUAGACUACAAGGAUGAGAAGGGUUAAAACAACUGUAGCCACCUGAACAUGCCUACAGACAGGCAAGGUUUGGCACACACAGCCCAUCUUUCUUAGAAUAUGUUUCCAGAGAGAGAGAGGGAGACAUGUGGGAGGGAAAAAGAUGGAAAGAGAGAGCUACGUGCUUUAAAACUCUGUUGCAAGCAUUUCUCUAUCCCACAUUACAAGAGUGCCACCUGCUGGGUCUGAACAGAUUCAGGUUUGUAGAAACCCUGCCUUUUGAUCUUUGCAAUGAAAAGAACAACCAGAUACACUCUGCUCUACCAGGUUUACAGCAUAGUAAUUUGCUGUGAAGGGAAUUCAACCCAAGCAGAUGAUAAGCACUUAUUAAUUGCAAGUGCUUAUGAACCUCAGAUGCCUUAUGAAUAAACAAACUUUAGACUUGUCAGACAGUCUUCUCAAACCUGCUCAAGCAUUAGACAUAGGUGGAACACAAACAGAGCCUACAGGAACUCAUACAGAAAGCACCCACAUACACUUUAAAGUAGGAAUAUGUAGUACAUAGCCGUCCUGGGAGGAAAUAAAGAUACUUAUCCUGUUGCCACGGUCAUAUGUUCAGAAAUGCCACGUGCAUCAGAUCCCAGAAGACUGGUGAUGGGAGUUUUGUGGGUGGUUCAAUCUGCAAUCAGAAGGCAAAGAUUGAACCACCCACAAUUGAACACAGAGGAAUAAAGAAGGCAGAGAAUGAAUUUGUGUCUGUGUAAUGUGAUGCAACUGGCCAGGUUAGUCUAGCCAAAACAUGAUCAUUUACUAUGGGAAAUAACCAAAUUAAAGCA